GGGGAUGUUUUGGUUUUGACAGCAUCGUAGACGACAGUAAGCACGUCGAGAGUCGAAAGCCCUCUCGUUAAUCCAAGUUUUCAAAAAUUUAGUAGGCAACUACAAUUAUUCAUACGCUUGCUAAUCUCAAAGAGAUUGAGCAUUAAUCAGGGCCGCCAAGGCUGCGGAGCUGACGUAUAUCCCGCCGGGAUUUAAGCCGAUUAUUCUCGGUACAUGGGGUAUCAUUAAAAUCGGAUGCACGGAUGGACUCCUUUAAAAUCCGCCAAGACUUAAAGGCUAAGGUGAAGUCUCGCCCGUCUUCCGGCAGGACAAACCCGAAAAGCAAAGGAAGAAUAAACGUGUAGAAAGCUGCUGGGUAUAAUGUUUGGACGAGGGUUCGAGUCCCUCCAUCUCCACUU
rnacentral:tmRNA from 1 species